UACGGAGGGGGCUAGCGUUGUUCGGAAUUACUGGGCGUAAAGCGCGCGUAGGCGGACCUGCAAGUCGGGGGUGAAAGCCCGAGGCUCAACCUCGGAACCGCCUUCGAUACUGCGGGUCUCGAGUCCGGAAGAGGAGUGUGGAAUUCCCGGUGUAGCGGUGAAAUGCGCAGAUAUCGGGAAGAACACCCGUGGCGAAGGCGGCACUCUGGGACGGUACUGACGCUGAGACGCGAAAGCGUGGGUAGCAAACAGG
rnacentral:rRNA from 1 species